GAACGAGAAAGGGGAGCAAUCCCUGAGUAAAGUGGCGCCCGGGUGAGUAACACGUGACCAAUCUACCCUCGAGUGCGGGAUAACUCCGGGAAACCGGGGCUAAUACCGCAUAAUAUCUUCGGGUCGGAAGAACUGAAGAUCAAAGGAGCAAUUCGCUUGAGGAGGAGGUCGCGGCUGAUUAGCUAGUUGGCGGGGUAAUGGCCCACCAAGGCGAAGAUCGGUAGCCGGCCUGAGAGGGCGCACGGCCACACUGGAACUGAAACACGGUCCAGACUCCUACGGGAGGCAGCAGUGGGGAAUUUUGCGCAAUGGGGGAAACCCUGACGCAGCAACGCCGCGUGGAGGAUGAAGUCCCUUGGGACGUAAACUCCUUUCGACCGGGACGAUUAUGACGGUACCGGUGGAAGAAGCCCCGGCUAACUUCGUG
rnacentral:rRNA from 1 species